UACGUAGGGUGCAAGCGCUGUCCGGAAUUAUUGGGCGUAAAGAGCUCGUAGGCGGUCUGUCGCGUCGGAUGUGAAAAUCCAGGGCUCAACCCUGGACCUGCAUUCGAUACGGGCAGACUAGAGUUCGGCAGGGGAGACUGGAAUUCCUGGUGUAGCGGUGAAAUGCGCAGAUAUCAGGAGGAACACCGGUGGCGAAGGCGGGUCUCUGGGCCAUUACUGACGCUGAGGAGCGAAAGCAUGGGGAGCGAACAGG
rnacentral:rRNA from 1 species